rnacentral:rRNA from 1 species
UACGUAGGGUGCAAGCGUUGUCCGGAAUUAUUGGGCGUAAAGAGCUUGUAGGCGGUUUGUCGCGUCUGCUGUGAAAUUUCGGGGCUCAACCCCGAACUUGCAGUGGGUACGGGCAGACUAGAGUGUGGUAGGGGAGACUGGAAUUCCUGGUGUAGCGGUGAAAUGCGCAGAUAUCAGGAGGAACACCGGUGGCGAAGGCGGAUCUCUGGGCCUUACCUGACGCUCGAGGCGCGAAAGCUAGGGGAGCGAACUGG